GUGGCAGUAGCUCAGUGGUAGAGCUUCCGCUGUGUACGCGGGAACGCCUGGGUUGGAUUCCCGGCUGUUUCC
rnacentral:tRNA from 1 species